CCAGACUCCUACGGGAGGCAGCAGUGGGGGAUAUUGCACAAUGGGGGGAACCCUGAUGCAGCGACGCCGCGUGGGUGAAGGAGUGCUUCGGCAUGUAAAGCUCUAUCAGCAGGGAAGAAAGAAAUGACGGUACCUGACUAAGAAGCCCCGGCUAACUACGUGCCAGCAGCCGCGGUAAUACGUAGGGGGCAAGCGUUAUCCGGAUUUACUGGGUGUAAAGGGAGCGUAGACGGCGAUGCAAGUCUGAAGUGAAAGGCGGGGGCCCAACCCCCGGACUGCUUUGGAAACUGUAUAGCUGGAGUGCAGGAGAGGUAAGUGGAAUUCCUAGUGUAGCGGUGAAAUGCGUAGAUAUUAGGAGGAACACCAGUGGCGAAGGCGACUUUCUGGACUGUACCUGACGCUGAGGCGCGAAAGCGUGGGUAGCGAACGGGAUUAGAUACCCGCGUA
rnacentral:rRNA from 1 species